AUUAUUGAAACUAAAAAUAAAACAAAAUUUUUAGUUUUAUUGCACUUUGUUUUUCUUCUCAUUAUUUCCUUACUGCGGCUAAUGAAGCGGUCGUCUCGCACAUUCAGCUUACUUCCCCAUUGAAAAAUAAGGUGGAUAUAUAUUAUCAUUAUUAUUUUUUUUUACGAGAUGCACCAUUCAAUUUGUGUUAGUUCAUAGUUUUACUGUCUGUACUAUUAUUCUAUCAUGUGAAAAAUACUAAUAGUAUAGAAUUAGCAGGUUUGUCCAAACUUUUAUAUGGUACCAGAUAUGAAUUUGCGGCUGUUUACAGUAUGCAUAAAUGUGUGUGAGUGGCUUAUUGCUUGAAGAAUCAUGCAUGUAUAAAGUAUCAGUGUUUAAUGGGCUACAUGCCAGCAGGUGUGUGUGGGUAAGUGAGAGAGUGAGUGUGUUGGGGGGCUUUGCCCGUGCAACUAAGUAUAAAUAUUUCACCCACUUCUUCAGUUCCCUUUUGUUCAUCAUUAUAGUGGCUCGAUGGCCAACCCCUUUAAUCCACAGCUGAACGAAUGAACGCUAGAGAGGAAAGGAAGAGAAAGCACGUGAGGGAGAGACAGACAUAAAAGUCCCAAUAAGGAUUGCAGAAUGUGAAAGAAAUGAAUAUAUAAAAUAAUGUAUUAUUUUUUUUUUACAUCUGAUUAUGUGAUGUGAAAAGGAGCCAAAAUGUGAAAAGAAGUGGAUUAAAAAUGAAUGUGUUCAGGUCCAAGGCUGAAGAGCUGCUUCCUGUCUAUUGCACCUCUCUUGUCAUGGCUGCCACAAUUCUCACUCAGGAAAAACGCUAUUGGAGAAUUGAUAUCAGGAAUAAGUGUGGGAUUCAUGCACCUACCACAAGUUCCUCCAGUGUUUGGUCUAUAUCCGUCCUUCUAUUCUGUUCUCAUUUGCUUCAUAUUUGGAACAUAGACACAUCACUGUGGAUGUUAAAUGUACAUAUGCACUGGUAGUGUCCUUUGUCUCCCUGGUGAUACUUGUUGGUGGAAAGAUGGUGAAUUCAUGCUGGAGCACUCGAUUUCCUAUUCUAUGGUUGUUGGUACUGGUGCACACACAAUGUUUUAAUUAAUGAGAAUGUUUUUUAUUUAUUUGACAUUAACGUUAGUAAAGCUGACUUAUAAUGCAUAGUUUCAGUUUGAUAAGAAAUUUCUGUGCAACAGUUAUUCUUUCUUCAUUUUCCUAGAUUAUAUUUGCAACUCUGUCAUCAGUGCAGUUUGAUCUGUCUUUUGUAUGCAGUAUGCAUUAUCUGUCAGCAGUAUGGAAUACAGAUUGUUGGACCCAUACCAAUCGGGUCAGCAGAGUGUUGGAUUUUCUUUACAAAACCAAUUAGCAGGAAGUUUUUAGGUGCUAAAACAAAUUCUCUCUCUCCUUCUGUCCCAUUUUCUCUAUCGUUGAUAACCUCUAAUUCUCUCACCUCCCUCCCUUCCAUCAUUUUCUGUUGCUCAGAAGCUAUUAUUGACAGCUCUUGCAUUGGCAGUGGUGGGCUAUGGUUUUCAAGCUUCAUUGGGCAUGAUGUUUGCUGAUAAACAUGGGUACCCCUUUCACAGCGACCAGGUAACAAGCAAUUUAUGUAACUUCAAGAAUUAUUUCCCUGCAACCUCCCAAAAAGACUAGUAUAAACGCCCACUUUGCAGCAUUCCCUUCAAUCAAACAUGAAUGGUCUCUUCCUCCUAUAGGAGCUGUUGGCUAUGGGUCUGUGCAACUCUAUUGGCCAGAUGUUCCAGUGCUUUCCAGUAAGCGGGUCCAUGUCUCGCAGCACAGUGCAGGGGAGUACAGGUGGACAAACUCAGGUGUGAACACCUGCUAUUUCUGGUUAAUAAAACAACCUCAUGUUACA
ensembl:lncRNA